GAUGAACGCUGGCGGCGUGCUUAACACAUGCAAGUCGAACGGUAAGGCCCUUCGGGGUACACGAGUGGCGAACGGGUGAGUAACACGUGGGUGAUCUGCCCUACACUUCGGGAUAAGCCUGGGAAACUGGGUCUAAUACCGGAUAGGACCCUGGGAUGCAUGUCCUGGGGUGGAAAGCUUUUGCGGUGUGGGAUGGGCCCGCGGCCUAUCAGCUUGUUGGUGGGGUGAUGGCCUACCAAGGCGACGACGGGUAGCCGGCCGGAGAGGGUGACCGGCCACAAUGGGACUGAGAUACGGCCCAGAGUCCUACGGGAGGCAGCAGUGGGGAAUAUUGCACAAUGGGCGCAAGCCUGAUGCAGCGACGCCGCGUGAGGGAUGACGGCCUUCGGGUUGUAAACCUCUUUCAGCACCGACGAAGCGCAAGUGACGGUAGGUGCAGAAGAAGGACCGGCCAACUACGUGCCAGCCGCCGCCGUAA
rnacentral:rRNA from 1 species